GGACAAAAAGGAAUAACACAUAGAUUCUCAUGUCCCUAUACACCUCAACAAAAUGGGAUUGUUGAGAGGAAACAUAGACACCUGCUUGAGACCAGCAGAUGUUUUUUUACUCAAUCCGGAAUUCCAAAAAAUAUGUGGCCAGAGGUCAUCUCUGCAGCAUGUUUUCUGAUAAAUAGGUUACCUAGUUCUGUUUUAGGGUUCAUAUCUCCCUUUGAGAUGUUAACCAAAAAUAAACCAGAUUAUAAAAUACUGAAAUUAUUUGGUUGUUCAUGUUAUCCCUUAAUAAAUAAAGGAUUAAGGAAUAAAUUUGAACCUACUGCCUAUAAAUGUGUCUUUAUAGGGUAUUCAAACAAACACAAAGGAUAUAUGUGUUUAAAGUUAGAAGAUAAUAAAGUCAUUAUAUCUCGAAAUGUCAAAUUUAAUGAAAAUGAGUAUCCUUUUUUAACUAAAACAGAUACUAAAACAGUAAAGAAGCCUGAAAAGCAAAUGAUAAUACUUCCAAGACUAGCUACUACAAUAAAUUUUGGCUUUCCUAUAAAUACAGGAAACUCAAACAGUGAGUUAAGGGUAGAACCAAAUUUGUCAAGUCAUGUAAGGAGAGUCACUCACAACAGAAUAACUCUACAAAUGACUCAAUGGAUAUAAUCUCAGAGUCAACUGAGAUAAGUAGCUCAGUACCCCAGACCAUGAGAGUUGAGUCUGAUAUGCAAUCUAACACUAGAAGUGAGACAAGACAACAAAGAGAUAUUUCUGAGAAUCAAACAAACACAGUUUGUAACUCAAUAUCACGAGAUAUAAGUAGUAGAUCUGAAGAACCAAUCAACAUAGGAGUUAGAUAUCCGACUAGAGAUAGAAAAGCACCAAAGUUUUUAGAAAACUAUGAGUGUAAUUCUUGCUCUGGCGAAGAGAUAGAACCAUCCACCUUCAGUGAGGCAAGUAAAGAACCUAAGUGGAAGGAGGCAAUGCAAGAGGAACUAGAUGCAUUGAAAGUUAACAAAACAUGGACUUUAGUACCAAAAAAUUCGUCAAUGAAUAUAGUAGGUUGUAAGUGGGUCUAUAAAAUUAAAAAGAACUCAGAUGAUUCAAUAGAANNNNNNNNNNNNNNNNNNNNNNNNNNNNNNNNNNNNNNNNNNNNNNNNNNNNNNNNNNNNNNNNNNNNNNNNNNNNNNNNNNNNNNNNNNNNNNNNNNNNUACAGUCCAGUAAUUAGGAUGAACACAGUAAGAUCAAUCAUUUCAAUUGCUGUGACAUAUAACUGGCAGCUAAGACAACUGGAUAUCAAAAAUGCCUUCCUAAAUGGCUUUCUAAACGAAACAGUAUACAUGAGACAACCAACUGGGUUUCAUAAUAAGAGUUAUCCAGAUCAUGUGUGUCUAUUACAUAAGGCUCUAUAUGGCUUAAAACAAGCACCCAGAGCUUGGUACUCAAGACUUCAAAAUUUUCUAGUUGAAAACGAAUUCAAAAAUAGUCUUACAGAUUCUUCAUUGUUCCUCAAAGUGAACAAUGGACAUAGAAUCUACAUACUAGUCUAUGUAGAUGAUAUUAUAAUUACUGGGGAUUCUAGUGAGGAAGUAAAUAGGUGCAUAGAAUUAAUAUGUAAACAAUUUUCAUGUAGAGACCUAGGGCUUCUUAACUAUUUUUUAGGAAUGGAAUGUAUAAGACAAGGGAAAACCAUAAUUCUAAGUCAAGAAAAAUAUGUGUCUGAUAUAUUGAAAAAAUUCAAUAUGAUGGAAUGCACACCAUGUAGGAUACCAAUGGUUCAAAAUCCAAGACUAAAUAAAAAUUCAGGGACUCCUAUAGAAAACAAUACAAUAUACAGAAACAUUGUAGGGUCCUUACAAUAUCUAACUAUGACUAGACCUGAUAUUGUCUUUUGUGUGAAUCAUCUUAGUCAGUUUCUACAAACACCAACUGAUGUACAUCUUAGUUUUGCUAAGAGGAUGCUAAGAUAUAUCAAGGGAUCUUCUAACCUAGGACUGAGAUUUACACCUUCAGUCAAACCAGUAAAUUCUUUGAUAGCCUACUGUGAUUCAGACUGGGCAAAUGAUACUGAUGAUAGGAGAUCAGUUUCUGGAUUCAGCAUCUGGUUUGCUGGAAAUUUGGUAGCCUGGGCAUCAAAGAAACAAGCAGUGGUAUCAAAAUCGAGUUGUGAGGCUGAAUACAGGGCACUAUCUGGGAUAACUUCAGAAGUUAAGUGGUUCUGUAAUUUGUUUAGGGAACUGGAGAUUAGGUUUGAGACAGCUCCACAAAUAUUAUGUGAUAAUAAAUCAGCAAUUUUUCUCACUAAAAAUCCAUCAUCAAACCUGAAAACUAGACAUAUAGAUAUCUCACACCAUUUUAUUAGAGAGCUGGUGAUGAAAGGGGCAAUAAAAGUGGAUUAUAUUGCUGCUAGUCAACAACUAGCAGAUGGUUUCACUAAAGUACUGGGAACAGGGCAAUUUAUGGUUCAUAGGGAUAGACAUAAACUAGUACCAACCAGUCCUGAUCCUAGAAUCAUAAUGAAGGACAAGAAUAGGCUAACAAAAUCGCAAGACAUAAGUAAACCAAAGCUAAUUAAGGAGGCUUAGGAGAAUGACUAUAUAAGGGAGACUAUAAUACUGGAUAUUAGUUUAGAUAUAUAAUAAUAAUAAUAAUAAUGAAAAUACUGAGGUGUUGUAUUUCUGAUUUCUGUUCUUAUAGUAAUACUUGUAUUCAUAUUAGGAAAUGUUAGAUAAAUAUGAUGUUGAAAAUUGCAGGGUGAUAAUCUGAAAUAUAUUCUAAAACUAUUUCUAGUUUUGGUUUGAUACAUAAUUUUGUCUGUUUGUUAAGGAAUGGUCUAUAUUUUUCUGUUUUUGGUUUGUGGGAAUGGCUACUGUGGAUGUAUGUUUGUGUGGUUGCAGGUCAUGCUAAGAUAGGUCAUGCCCAAAUAACUGGAAAUUUAAUCUGGAGCAGAAAAUGUGGAAUCUAGAGCAGCAGGAGCUUUGAGAAUGAGCAGCGAUUUUUUUUGUUUUGUUCUUUCUUUCAGGGUCUUAAUUGGUAUAACAGGAGGGUUUUCCCAGUAAAAAUGAAAGAAAGAGGAGCAAAAAUAAGAAUCCCAGCUGGGUUUUUCGCCCUACCUGUUAGCUCAAUUAAUUCAUAGCUGAGUUAGUUCACAAGACUACUAAGGAGGUGGACAGACAAGCUGAUGAUCAUACUCAUGUUCAAAUUCACAACUCAGGAUUGCAUUCUGGAGUUGUCAAUUUGCGGGGGAAUGUAAAGAGUUAAAAAUACUAUAAGGGGUUUUGUAUAAAUGUACCCAUAAUAUUAAGUAUAAGUAUAGGCUUUGUGUAAUGAUUAGUUAAGUUGAAUGUUAUAAUUCUUGAGUGUCAAUUAAAGAGUUUACUCUUUCUUCUUCUUGUUUUGACCUAACGACUUCAUUCUCCCCCUUUCUUCUAUCUUCUUCUUCUAUCAAUUUCUUGUUGAUGAUUCAGUGAAUGGAAACCUCUCCAGAUUUCUACAUGGUAUCUAGAGCUUUGUGAUUCGAUUGGGGCAUCUGGGCGUUAGGGCACGGCGAGCGCGGAAUCUUCUCAGCGUGAUUUCUUCUCGGCGUGAAUUGGAGCGGUUCCUGUUCUGUUCUUUUCUUUUCUUCCCGGCUACAGCGCGUGGUCUUUCUCUUCUCUUCUCGGCUGGCGUGGUCUUUCUUCUCGGCUGGCGUGGUCUUUCUUCUCGGCUGGCGUGGUCUUUCUCUUCUCUUCUCGGCGGCGUGAAUUUCUGGGUCUUUUCUUCUCGGCUGGCGUGGUCUUUCUUCGGCUACAGCGUGGUUCUUCUCGCCGAUUGAUUGCAAUCUGCGAUUGCAACUCUGGUUUGAAUUUUUUAUUUUUUAUUUAUUUCAUUUUUCUGUUAUCUGCAAUUGCAAGUUAUUGAACCAUUGAUUUCCAAAUUUUUUAAUUAGAUUCUGUUUGUGUUUGGAUUGAUCUGUAAGUCUGAAUUUGUUUGUGUUUGAUUUGCGUUAGAUUACGUGUUACAUUUGAUUUCAAUUUUUCAGAUUUUGUGUUCAUUGAUUUCAAUUUUUUUUUUAGAACCCAAAACGGUUGCUUGUGUCAUUGAUCCCUGGCAUUUUAUCGAUUUCUUCUAUUUCUCAUCUCGUUUUCGCCUCGUUGUUUCGUUGCUUGUUCCCCUAUAGUUUUAUUUGAUUUCGUUGGAAACUCCCUAUCAGUCUGCUAGUUUCUUUAAUCCUACUCGGUCGUUCUUUUCCAAUAGUUCAUUUGAGUGCGAUUAAAAUCUGUUUUGGGUUUACAGAUUACCUGUUAGUUUUGUUUGAGUUUACAAUAUUUUUUUUUUUUUAAUUUUCUCAUUUGAUUUAAUCUGUUUACAGAUUUGUUUUGCAUUUGAUUUCUGCGUUUUUAUCUGUUAGUAUUUUACUGAUAUUUUUUUUGCUGACAUCGAUUUGGUAUUUUCUUCUUCUUUAUUUGCCUGUUAGUAUUUGGUAUUUGGUAUUUUACUGUUAGUAUUCUUCUUCUUCUUAAAUUUUAGUUUUUUUUUUUUUUAUUUUUUUUUUUCUUUCUUUAAAUUUUGUCAUAGAUCUGUCGAUCUGUCAUCGAUCUGACAUUUUCUGUUUUUGGUUUAUGUUUUUUGUUGUUGUUGUUUGGUAAUUGAUUUCAUUGAUUUCAUCAAAUUUGUUGUUGUUUUUAGUUGUUUGUUUUUGCUGGUUAUUAAAUUUAAUUCUGAAUAAUUGCAUGCACAUAACUACAUUUUGUUUGCUUGUGUUGCAUACUAAUUAUAAAUUGUUUUUUUUUUGUUUUGUUGUUUUUGUUGUUUGGUAAUUGAUUUCAUUGAUUUCAUCAAAUUUGUUGUUGUUUUUAGUUGUUUGUUUUUGCUGGUUAUUAAAUUUAAUACUGAAUAAUUGCAUGCUAAAUCACAUAUGAAUUUAUCAGAUUGCAUGCUAAUAAAAAUAAUAAUAAUAAAUAAAUAAAAACAAAUAUCUGAUUGUGUAGUUUCUACCCACUUGAAAGUAGAUCAUAACUACAUUUUCUACUCAAUCGAUCGAUUGUGUAGUUUAUAGUUUGCUUGUAGUUGUAAAUUACAAUUGCCCAAGUGGUUAAUUGUUAUUUUGUUUGUGACGCAAGGAGCUGGUUUUUUUUUCUGGAUCUGCGAAUCAGCUUCUGUAAUCAUUGUUUUCUGUUGAGUGGCGAUUUCCAUCUUGAGCUAUGGCAGGAAUUGGAUCAAGUACAUCUGGUGCUGGAAGUGCAGCUGUGACAGCAAGGAUCGAAGUUCCUCAAAUGAUGUAUAGUAUUGCGUCACUCUGUCCCACACCUCUUUCAGAAGGGAAUUAUCUAGUAUGGAAAAAUCAAUUUGAAGGUGCAUUACAAAUACAUAAUUUGUUAGAUUUUAUUUCUGGAAAACUUGGGACUCCGGCUCUAAGAUUAAGUGAUGGCUCUGAAAAUCCGGCAUAUGCGUCUCACAAGAGGAACGAUGGCAUAGUGCUCAGUUGGAUUAAAGCCACGGUAUGUAAGGAAAUUCAGCCUCUACUUUUACCUUGUGUUACUGCAUAUGAGGCAUGGCAUAUUUUAGAAACAGAUAUUUCGCCUAUUGAUAAAAAUCAAAUUCAAACUCUUCGUGAUGAGUUGAAUUCACUAAGGAAGACAACAGAUAUUUCAAUGAAAGAAUAUAUUUUCAAGAUUAAGAGUUUGAAACACUCUCUAGCAGCAGCAGGAUAUUCAAUGUCUGAUGAAAGAGUGUCAGAGUAUGUUCUCAGAGGUCUUGGACCUGAAUUCCGUAUGUUUAGGACAUCUCUGAAUUUUCAGAAGGAUAUUACUUUUACAGAACUUGCAGAUGCUCUUAUUAAAGAAGAAAUUUUGAUGAAACAACUGGAUCAACCAACAACUGAAGGGGAUUAUCAGGUGCAUUAUUCCAAUUAUAAUAGGAAUAAUUUCAAUAGAAAUGCUAAAUUUUAUCCAGGGAAAGGCAAGAAUGGUGGUUCUUAUUAUAAACCAUCAUACAAAAAUCAAGGAACAAAGGUCAUAACUGUUCCUCCUCAAAUUGCUCGGAAUAAUUUGCCUCCCAUUCUGAAUCUACCAUCUUCACAGGACAACACAUCUACGUGUCAGAUUUGUGAGAAAAAAGGACAUCUGGCUAGAAAUUGCCCAGAUAGAGGUAAUUUUGCUGCCUAUGCCAUGGAGGAUGAUUAUGAUACUCAGAUAACUGGAAAUGAAGAAGAAGCAGCAGCAUAUUCUGUAACAGUCCAAGAUCUGGAUUGGUGUCUUGACUCAGGAGCUACUAAUCACAUGGUAGCUGAUGAAGCCUUGCUCCAUGACUGCCAGACCUAUACAGGUAUUGGGUGUGUUGUGAUUGGAUCUGGAGAUAGAUUAGUAAUUUCUAAAAUAGGAAAGUUAGACUUUGAAGUGCAUUCAAAGGUUUAUACACUUAAUAGAGUUUUAUGUGUGCCUAAGAUUAAGAAAAAUCUAAUUUCUGUGACUAAACUAUGUAGUGAUUUGAACUGUUAUAUACAGAUUUCACAGAAGGAAUUUUCAGUGAAGAGCCUGAAGAUGCAUCAGACGCUUUUUUCUGGAAUUAAUAAAAGAGGGCUAUACUAUUUCAGCCCGGACAUCAACUGUAAUUUGGGUAUCAAGAUCUCUUCAGAUACAUGGCACAAGAGACUAGGACAUCCUUCUCUCAAAAUCAUGAAUAAAAUAGGACAUGUAUUAGGAUUAAACAAUUCAGAUUUAAAAUCUUUAGAAUUUUGUAAUAACUGUCCUAUGGCAAAAAUGUCGAAAUUACCUUUUUCUUGUAAUGAAAUAAAAACUUCUUUUCCAUUGGAAAUAAUACAUAUAGAUCUAUGGGGUCCAGCCCCAAUUGUUUCAAUGAAAAAUUAUAAAUUUUUUGCAACAAUUGUAGAUAAUAAAACAAGGUAUACAUGGAUUAUACUAUUAAGGGCUAAAAGUGAUUUUACUGAUCAGUUUAUUCUAUUUCAGAAAAAUAUAGAAAACCAGUUAGGGCGAAAAAUUAAGAAAAUUUAUUCAGAUGAGGGUGGUGAAUUUCUUAGUACCAAGCUGAAAACUUGGCUAGGACAAAAAGGAAUAACACAUAGAUUCUCAUGUCCCUAUACACCUCAACAAAAUGGGAUCGUUGAGAGGAAACAUAGACACCUGCUUGAGACCAGCAGAUGUUUUUUUACUCAAUCAGGAAUUCCAAAAAAAUAUGUGGCCAGAGGUCAUCUCUGCAGCAUGUUUUCUGAUAAAUAGGUUACCUAGUUCUGUUUUAGGGUUCAUAUCUCCCUUUGAGAUGUUAACCAAAAAUAAACCAGAUUAUAAAAUACUGAAAUUAUUUGGUUGUUCAUGUUAUCCCUUAAUAAGUAAAGGAUUAAGGAAUAAAUUUGAACCUACUGCCUAUAAAUGUGUCUUUAUAGGGUAUUCAAACAAACACAAAGGAUAUAUGUGUUUAAAGUUAGAAGAUAAUAAAGUCAUUAUAUCUCGAAAUGUCAAAUUUAAUGAAAAUGAGUAUCCUUUUUUAACUAAAACAGAUACUAAAACAGUAAAGAAGCCUGAAAAGCAAAUGAUAAUACUUCCAAGACUAGCUACUACAAUAAAUUUUGGCUUUCCUAUAAAUACAGGAAACUCAAACAGUGAGUUAAGGGUAGAACCAGAGUCAAGUCCUGUAAGGAGAGUUACUCACUCACAACAGAACAACUCUAAAAAUGACUCAAUGGAUAUAAUCUCAGAGUCAACUGAGAUAAGUAGCUUAGUACCCCAGACCAUGCGAGUUGAGUCAGAUAUGCAAUCUAACACUAGAAGUGAGACAAGACAACAAAGAGAUAUUUCUGAGAAUCAAACAAACACAGUUUGUAACUCAAUAUCACGAGAUAUAAGUAGUAGAUCUGAAGAACCAAUCAACAUAGGAGUUAGAUAUCCGACUAGAGAUAGAAAAGCAC
rnacentral:lncRNA from 1 species